UACGGAGGGGGCUAGCGUUGUUCGGAAUUACUGGGCGUAAAGCGCACGUAGGCGGCUUGGCAAGUCGGAUGUGAAAGCCCACGGCUCAACCGUGGAAGAGUAUCCGAAACGGCCUCGCUCGAGUCUCGGAGAGGAAGGUGGAAUGCUUGGUGUAGAGGUGAAAUUCGUAGAUAUCAAGCAGAACACCUGCGGCGAAGGCGGCCUUCUGGACGAUGACUGACGCUGAGACGCGAAAGCGUGGGGAGCAAACAGG
rnacentral:rRNA from 1 species